GACGAACGCUGGCGGCGUGCCUAAUACAUGCAAGUAGAACGCAGUUGCGAAGAGGUGAGUAAAGCGUAGGUAACUGCCUCAUAGCAGGGGGUAAAUAUUUGAAACGGUAGCUAAUACCGCAUACUGUGAGAUGGACCUGCGUGGUAUUUGGUAGUUGGUGAGGUAAAGGCUCACCAAGGCGACUAUACCUAGCCGACCUGAGAGGGUGAUCGGCCCAACUGGGACUUGGAACAGGCCCCGACUUCCUCGGGAGGCAGCAGUAGGGAAUCUGCGGCCAUGGACGGAAGUCUGACCGAGCAACGCCGCGGGAGUGAAGAAGGUUUUCGGAUCGUAAAGCUCUGUUGUUAGAGAAGCGUUAACUAACCAGAAAGGGACGGCUAACUACGUGCCAGCAGCCGCGGUAAUAC
rnacentral:rRNA from 1 species